rnacentral:rRNA from 1 species
ACGGGUGAGUAAUGUCUGGGGAUCUGCCCGAUAGAGGGGGAUAACCACUGGAAACGGUGGCUAAUACCGCAUAACGUCGCAAGACCAAAGAGGGGGACCUUCGGGCCUCUCACUAUCGGAUGAACCCAGAUGGGGUUAGCUAGUAGGCGGGGUAACGGCCCACCUAGGCGACGAUCCCUAGCUGGUCUGAGAGGAUGACCAGCCACACUGGAACUGAGACACGGUCCAGACUCCUACGGGAGGCAGCAGUGGGGAAUAUUGCACAAUGGGCGCAAGCCUGAUGCAGCCAUGCCGCGUGUAUGAAGAAGGCCUUCGGGUUGUAAAGUACUUUCAGCGGGGAGGAAGGCGAUGUGGUUAAUAACCGCGUCGAUUGACGUUACCCGCAGAAGAAGCACCGGCUAACUCCGUGCCAGCAGCCGCGGUAAUACGGAGGGUGCAAGCGUUAAUCGGAAUUACUGGGCGUAAAGCGCACGCAGGCGGUCUGUUAAGUCAGAUGUGAAAUCCCCGGGCUUAACCUGGGAACUGCAUUUGAAACUGGCAGGCUUGAGUCUCGUAGAGGGGGGUAGAAUUCCAGGUGU